rfam:Schistosoma haematobium scaffold636_47, whole genome shotgun sequence.
AUCCAGCUAACGCGUCCAAAAUAGGACGAAACGCGUGUCUUAAAU